GAUGAACGCUGGCGGCGUGCCUAAUACAUGCAAGUCGAGCGAACAGAUGAGGAGCUUGCUCCUCUGACGUUAGCGGCGGACGGGUGAGUAACACGUGGAUAACCUACCUAUAAGACUGGGAUAACUUCGGGAAACCGGAGCUAAUACCGGAUAAUAUAUUGAACCGCAUGGUUCAAUAGUGAAAGACGGUUUUGCUGUCACUUAUAGAUGGAUCCGCGCCGCAUUAGCUAGUUGGUAAGGUAACGGCUUACCGAGGCAACGAUGCGUAGCCGACCUGAGAGGGUGAUCGGCCACCCUGGAACUGGGAAACGGUCCAGACCCCUACGGGGGGCAGCAGUAGGGAAUUUUCCGAAAUGGGCGAAAGCCUGACGGAGCAACGCCGGGGGGGGGAUGAAGGUUUUCGGUUCGUAAAACUCUUUUAUUAGGAAAGAAAAAAUGUGUAAGUAACUAUGCACGUUUUGAAGGUACCAAAUCAAAAAGCCACGGCAAACUACGU
rnacentral:rRNA from 1 species